GGAUGUAGGGUGUAUAAGUGCACGGAAAAAGAGGUACGAUUAUCCAGAUUCAAAUUUAAAAAGGUUUACCCGUUGAAUGAUUGAAAUCUUCAUUUUACAUAUCCAAAACUCAGAAAAGGAAAAUCUUAACAUCUUUAUUUGUAUAAACUUUCUCUUUCAAAAUCCUAUAUUUUAAAUUUUUUCUCUCUUUCUCAACCCCAAAUCUCUCAAUACUCUUCCUCUUCGAAAAACUAGAAAAUCCCUUCUUUCUCUGUAUUCAUCUCAACUCAAUGGCAAGAAAAGCAAAGGAUUCAAGCACCUCCACUACCUCAACCAAACAAAUAAAAUUAGAAAAGAAAUCUCAAGUGCUUGAAAUAUUUAUCCAUAUAGAAAAGUACAAGAUGGUGCAGCCUUGAGUUUUUGACUGAAAGGUUUUUAGGGAUAAAGCUAUGAAGUUGAAGGAAUGGUUCAAGUUUCAAGGCUGGGUUCUGUUUAUACAAAUCAAAGAGAAAUUUCAUGAAGAUCUCACUUUAGAGUUCUAUAGGUCGGUCACAAAAAUAACAGAUGAGGUAUGGGUAAGCAUAAACAAGGAGCCAAAAGAAAUCACUCCAACCUUGCUAGGAAAAGUUCUAGGCUUGCUGGUGGAUGGAGCAAUUAAUCAUUGAGCAUACUUCUGACAAGAGUAUUCUUGGGUAUGAUAAAAAGAGAUUUAUUAAAGAGCUAAGAGCAAAUCAACAUACAGAGAUGGUGAACAUGAGGAAGCUGAUAGAGCAAUGGAAGAAGAAAAAUCAAAGAAAAUAAUCAUACUCCGUUGAUGCCGCCAAGAAUGUGACUAAGGCAAGCCACUCCAAGGCUGGUGACGCAACCAAUGUAGCUCGCUCUCCCCCUUUGUCUUAACCGGAGCAGGAGAGUGGGCAAAAACAAUAUGAAAAAAGAGCAAGUUGUCUCUUUCGAGCAUCUUGCUAAGAUGAGAAAAUCUUAUAUUGCUACUAACGAGGUUGUAGAUGAGCUCGGCUAUUUUCAGAAUAGUCUCCUGAAGGUGUUUGGAGAGGAGGCCUCUGUUCAUACACCAAAGGUUACAUUCGAGGUGCUAUACAACUGCAGCCUUCGAACCAAGAGAGGCUUUAGAAUAUGCCUGAUGGUGAUCAGCUGGGAGGCUCGUAUGCCAUUACGCUUGAGGUGGCCUACCAAUUCAUGGAGCUAAAGAGGAGACAACAAGACAAGUUAAAAGCCUGGGAUCAAGAGCUCACCUCGUUCAAAAAGGUAGAGCAGAUCAGAAGUCUAAAGUAGACAACAUUCUCAAUGCUUAUGAGCAAAAAAAGAUGCUAACUCGGCAUCAUGCUGCCUUGGAUGAGAAGGAUUAGAGGAUCUCUAGCCUCAAAGCUAAUCUUGUGGCUAAGUGGGCUAAGCUAGAGCAAGAGAAGUAAGGGCAAGCUGAUGACGCUGUGAAGAUGGCGUGGUCCCUUGUGGGAUAUCAAACGAAGCUUAUUUGCGAGCUCUCUUGUAAAUAUUUGAUUUGUGACUUCUUGUGCAUCAACGACAUUUACCCUAAUGACGAUGAUGUUGAGCCUUAGCUCUUAUUUUCGAUCCUUCGGGUCCUACUCCUGCUAAUCUUGAAAAUGCACUUUCUAUAGAUGAUUAUUUAGCUAAUCUUGCAACUGACACUGCUACUUAAACAAAGUAGUACUUCUUCUAUUAUACUACUUUUUUUAAUUUUAUUUGGUUUAAUGAAACUUUUCUUUC